AGCAAGAGAGGGAAAGAAACCCUUCUCAUCUUCACAAAAUUGAAGAGUUGAAGCCCUAAACAUGGCUGAAACACUUGCAUGUUAACAAAUUCGUAAUCAUCUAGUCCUAACAAAGCUCAAGGGAUUAAAGAAGAAAGCUCAAGUCGCUCCGGAUCACAAACUAACAACGACAAAGGUAAAGCUAUUUGAAGGAUGGCACUGCUUGGACCGAACACACUUAUGAAGCACGCUUCCGCGAAGAUCCUAGUCAUGGUUUAAACUUUUGUUAAAUUAUGUCUUUUGUUAAAAUCGGGUCUUUUGUAAGUAACUAAUCCGGAAGUUGUUAGAUUUUAAACCAGUAGUUAAAGACUAUGUUAGUUGGUUUUUAAGA